UACGAAGGGGGCUAGCGUUGCUCGGAAUCACUGGGCGUAAAGCGCACGUAGGCGGGUCCUUAAGUCAGGGGUGAAAUCCCGGAGCUCAACUCCAGAACUGCCUUUGAUACUGGGGAUCUUGAGUCCGGAAGAGGUGAGUGGAACUCCGAGUGUAGAGGUGAAAUUCGUAGAUAUUCGGAAGAACACCAGUGGCGAAGGCGGCUCACUGGUCCGGUACUGACGCUGAGGUGCGAAAGCGUGGGGAGCAAACAGG
rnacentral:rRNA from 1 species